rnacentral:tRNA from 1 species
GUUUUAAACCGGAAGUUUUUUGAAUUCAAAAUUGCAAAUUUUGAGGUGGAGGUUUUCUACUUUUGGGGG